rnacentral:lncRNA from 1 species
AAUUUACGGGUAAAUGUUGCACGUCACGGUGCACCGGUUGCCGCCUCCAUCCGGUCUCCAAGUCAAAAAACAAAUCCAAAGGUAAUUCCAAGCAUAUCCAGUUCAUGGAUCAAUCCGAUUCGAAGCUAGACGGGUUGUCCGCGACCGGGACCUUGAACAGGGACGGAUCCACAUAGGGACUAAGUGUGGCUAUAGCCACACCAGAAUUUUCAAUUUUUAAUAGGUAUAUAUACAUAUUUUUGUUAUUUAAUAUCGUAUAAAUAUUUAUAACUGCUAACAAAGUUACAACAAUGUGUCUGACUUAGUGGUAAUGGACCGACCUUUUAUCCAAGUGUCUCUAGUUCGAUUCUUGCUUUGGUGUUUUUGGCUAUUAAUUGAUAUUUUUAUAAAAAAAUUGCUUUGUUGCAAAUUAACUACAAGGAAUCCAGAAUAAUUGUUUUUGCUAAUUUUUUUUCCAAAAGGAGUGAUCAAUAUAUUUUUUUUUUUAAGCAAGAUCAAUAUAUGUUUAUAUAUACAUAUAUAUACACAUAUUGGAGAAAUCAAAUUAUACCGAUAACAUUUUAAUGAGUAUAAAUAUUUAUAAAAUUUAUCAUUAAAUUUAAAAUUCAUAUCAUAUAGAUAAUUCAUGUAAAAUUUUAUAGAAAUUUAAAAUUAUUUGAUAUGUCAUUGAAAUUUACCAACAUUAAGGGUUUAUACAUUUUAUUGAACACUAUUAAUUUUAAUUGAUCUCAAUAAUAUAUUAAAUUAUUUUAGACGUUAUUUAACGAUGCAACAUUAUUUUGAAUGAAUUUAGACGUUAUUGAACGAUGCAAUAUUAUUUGAAUGUAAAAGAUCUAUGAAUUUCCAAAUUUANNNNNNNNNNNNNNNNNNNNNNNNNNNNGUCUACCUCCGCCACUGCACUCAACCCGACAUCGACGCGCGGUGCAUCCAUUCAUAGACUGGUUUGAUUCUUUUACUUUCCUUUGUUCUCUCAACUCUACAAACUACAAAUAUGAUUUAUUUGGUAGGUGUUCUGUUAUUUUUUCAUGUUCUUUCUAAAUAUAAAGCUACUUCUUUGGCUAAUCUGUAAGCGUAAUUUUUUUUUUCAACUAUAAAGUUUGCGAAUGUAUUUUUUUUUAGCCACACCAAUAUAUCAGGUCUGUAUCCGUCCCUGACCUUGAACCAUAUUAGUAAUUGCUAUAUGGAUGAUGCGGAGGUGGAAGAUGAAAAGGUUGACCAUAUUGAUAAUUAUGUAAAUUAUUCAUGCACUAUAGAUGAAAAAGAAGUGNNNNNNNNNNNNNNNNNNNNNNNNNNNNNNNNNCAAAUUAAAGAAGAAAAAUAUGAAGAUGAAGAUUGGUGUUUGGUGUAACGUUGUUCAUGAUUUGAUUUUAUAUUGUUUAUUUAUCUCCACUUACAAUUGCUUGAAAGGAGGGAGAGUUAAUUUAAUCCAAAAUUAAGAUCCAAAAUUAUAUGUAUGUCUUCUAGCUUAUCCAAUAUUAUGGUCAUGAAUAAAAAAUUGGAAUUAUUUUUUUGGAUACAUAAACU